rnacentral:lncRNA from 1 species
AAACUCUUGAAAUUAGUUUACCUCAUCCAUGCACUUUAAUUGAAGAACUGCACUUUUUUUACUUCGUCUCCUCGCCCGUUGAAAUAAAGAUCUGCAGCGUUGUUUGAUGUACAGAUUGCGGAACCCGAGCGUGUGUGUUGGGAGGGGGGCCUCCAGAAAUGACAAGCCGUCAUUUGAAACCAGACCUGGAACAAAUUGUUUCCUGGAACAUACUUCUCUGUUGAUCAAUGAUAUGUAAAAUACAUGUAUCUAUAUAAAUAUAAAGUCACAUUCAAGUUUUGAUGCUAUGUUUGCUGCCAGAUACUGUGCUUAAAAAACAACACCAUUACUUUCCUUCUCCCUGUGACCUGUAGGAUUACAACCAUAGUGUUUUAUUUGUGGGUGAAACCACCGUUGUGUAUCUUUCACUGGAAUGAAGAACCUGCCCUAGGAUAUUCUUUGCAGACUUGAUGCAUCACUAACACCUUGCAGAAACCUCAGUGAGAAUAUCGUGUGGCUAAUCAGUGCCUGCCAAUUAGUGAUCUACCUGUUUAUGGGCUUGAGACAUGAAGUGACCCACCUUGUGGAUUACUGGGCAAAACUGGACUUCUGGGGAGGUUCUUGGCUGUUGUGCCGUGCUGAAGCCUACCGUUGAAAGACUUCUGUGACCAUCUUGCCAGUAGUCAUCUGUGACAAUYGUGGCUGUGGAGCUUUCAGACUUCUUUUCUCUUUCAAGAAACUUUGUCCGUUUGUCUCAUGGAAGGGAAAUGGAUUUUGCUUUCACAGCCUCGUAGCCCGUCCUGUUGAUCACAUUGACCGUGGAGGAACACAGACUAGACGUGAAGCUUUCUGGACCCACAGUUGCGUCUUCCACAGCACUGAUUCUGGAAAACACGUGCUGAGCAGCCCUCGGUCCCUGAAGAGAGUGUGACUUCUACUUUCUCUUUUUUUUUCUGGGCCACCCACUCCGUUGUUUUUCUCCACUGAGUGAUAACUAACUCAUUAAGACUCAGAACCCAGUUGUCACUUGAGGAACGUACUGUAUGAAAGCCCUACAGACUUCUGGAUUUUGUUUUUUCUCCUUUUCYGCUUUCUCUGCUUACCUUUGGUUUUAUUUAUAUAUUUUGUUGUUGUC